rnacentral:rRNA from 1 species
GACGAACGCUGGCGGCGUGCUUAACACCUGCAAGUGGAGCGACGAACCAGGGCUUGCCCUGGGGCAGAGCCGCGAACGGGUGAGUAACACGUGGGUAACGUGCCCCGAUGAUCGGGACAACCCGGGGAAACCCGGGCUAAUACCGAAUGUGCUCCCCUCACACCAGUGAGGGAUGGAAAGGAAGCUUCGGCCUCCGCAUCGGGAUCGGCCCGCGGCCCAUUAGCUUGUUGGUGAGGUAACGGCUCACCAAGGCUGCGAUGGGUAGCUGGUCUGAGAGGACGAUCAGCCACACUGGGACUGAGACACGGCCCAGACUCUACGGGAGGCAGCAGUGGGGAAUCUUGCGCAAUGCGCGAAAGCGUGACGCAGCAACGCCGCGUGGGGAAGACGGCC